UAUUGGGAGUCGUGCUCGUCUAACAUGGUAUCAGAGUCAUGCUCUAAACUUAGUCGUGUCAAUAGAUUGGUAAAUCUUGAAACGUCGAACAAAGGAAUCAAGCCUCCUCAACCUCCUCAACAAAGGAAUCAAGCGAACUUCGAUUAAGGGGAGGUGUUGGAUGAUUCGAAGGCAUAGUAAAAAAAUGACUAAGACUCCAAAUGAGUCGAGGAUCGAAUGAAAGUGUAUGAGACCUUUUAGGGAAGCCCAAAGCAACAUGAACUAAAAGUGUACAAUAUCAUAUCAUAACCAUCACUAAGUUCACUACUUUUCGUUAUGUUUGUCAUACAGAUAAACGUUAAUAAUAUCUUGUCUUCUCCUCUAAUGUGUAGUGCAGUAAUCUAAAAGGUUUAGGCCAUGAUUUUGGUCGAACACCUUCUUGAAAGUUCGAUAAGAUUUGAAUAAUGCAAUGCAACUAAGUUUCCAUU